AGGCGGAUGAAGGCUUAUAAAAGCCCUGGAGUCCGCUGAGGGGGACUCCAUUGAUCAUCUUCUCACUUUCCUCGUUCUUCUUCCUCUGUGCAAGGAGUCGGACCGGGAGCUGUGGUGCCGGAGGGGGAAGGAUUUCCAGCUCGCCACCUCGUGGUGCUGCCGAAGCAAACAAAGGAGCUCGCCGGAAUCCUUCACGGCUCAUCGGAGCUAGGUAAUCCCUUAAUCCCCUUGCUUUUCAUUAACGGUUUACCUACUGUUGGCCUAGAUUUAAAUUAGUUAGGGUUGAUUUACAGAGGAAGAAGGGUAGGGAGAAGAUGAAGAGAAGGAAGGAGAAGGAUCUAACCAAUGAUCGGCUGUGAUCCGACAUUGGCCGGG
rnacentral:lncRNA from 1 species